AACGAACGCUGGCGGCAUGCCUAACACAUGCAAGUCGAACGUGAUCCGGGGCUUGCUCCGGUGAAAGUGGCGGACGGGUGAGUAACGCGUGGGAACCUGCCCUUUGGUCGGGGAUAACUGCGGGAAACUGCGGCUAAUACCCGAUGUACCCGAGAGGGGAAAGAUUUAUCGCCGAAGGAUGGGCCCGCGUCGGAUUAGGUAGUUGGUGGGGUAACGGCCUACCAAGCCUUCGAUCCGUAGCUGGUCUGAGAGGAUGAUCAGCCACACUGGGACUGAGAUACGGCCCAGACUCCUACGGGAGGCAGCAGUGGGGAAUAUUGGACAAUGGGCGCAAGCCUGAUCCAGCAAUGCCGCGUGAGUGAAGAAGGCCUUAGGGUUGUAAAGCUCUUUUGUCCGGAAAGAAAAGCAAUCGGUUAAUACCCGGUUGUUCUGACGGUACCGGAAGAAUAAGCACCGGCUAACUUCGUG
rnacentral:rRNA from 1 species